rnacentral:rRNA from 1 species
GAUGAACGCUGGCGGCGUGCCUAAUACAUGCAAGUCGAGCGAACAGAUAAGGAGCUUGCUCCUUUGACGUUAGCGGCGGACGGGUGAGUAACACGUGGGUAACCUACCUAUAAGACUGGAAUAACUCCGGGAAACCGGGGCUAAUGCCGGAUAACAUUUAGAACCGCAUGGUUCCAAAGUGAAAGAUGGUUUUGCUAUCACUUAUAGAUGGACCCGCGCCGUAUUAGCUAGCUGGUAAGGUAACGGCUUACCAAGGCAACGAUACGUAGCCGACCUGAGAGGGUGAUCGGCCACACUGGAACUGAGACACGGUCCAGACUCCUACGGGAGGCAGCAGUAGGGAAUCUUCCGCAAUGGGCGAAAGCCUGACGGAGCAACGCCGCGUGAGUGAUGAAGGUCUUCGGAUCGUAAAACUCUGUUAUUAGGGAAGAACAAAUGUGUAAGUAACUGUGCACGUCUUGACGGUACCUAAUCAGAAAGCCACGGCUAACUACGUG